rnacentral:lncRNA from 1 species
UUCAAGCCAGAAAGAGAGCCCUCACCAGACACGAAAUCCACUGACACUUUGAUCUUAAGCUUGUAACCUUCAGAACAGUGCUACUGAAAUGCCAGGGGUUUGGUCUAGGUCCUGCUGCUUGCUGCACAGAAAGCCAAUCACUGAGACAACAAUUAUUACCAAGGAAGAAGGUUUUAAUUGGGUGCUGCAGCUGAGGAGAUGGGAGAUCAGUCUCAAAUCCAUCUCCCUUACCCAGUAAAAUUAGGGGUUUAUAUAUCAGCACAGAAAAGUAACAGUGUGUAGGAAAAAAGGAACUCAGGAGGGGUAAGGAAGCAAUCGUGAUGAAUGAGGGGCCUGGUGUCUCAUUGUCCAGAUGCCAUGAUCUGUUGAGCUUCAGUUCUUUCAUACUUUUGGAGAUGCCUGGGGGUCCUUUUCUGAGGAAGAAACUCAGAAAAAACAAGUCCUUAACUGUGCUUCCUGGAAUCAUCUCCCAGAUAAACUAUGUGUACCAGAGUUUCUGUCUCUGGGUUGGCUUUGAAGGAGUCCAAACUAAGAGAUUGUUUUGGGUUGCCACAAUUUGUAACAAACACACUAUUUGUGAAGUACAAUAAGCAGAGCACAAGAAAACAAGAUAUGCCUGUAAUCCUGUGAUGUGCAAUAAAAUCAGGAGCAUCACAAGGGGUUUAUAUUCUGCAAACCACAUCUGGAAACAGCAAUCUUGUCCACUUGGAGUGAAUUAAUGGUAGAGUCAAGGCUUCCUAACCCAUGGGCUUUCCGCCUUCAUUCUUGCUACUCAAAGUGUGGCCCGUGGACCAUCAGCCUGGCCAUCACCUGGGAAUUGGUUAGAGGUGCAGAAUCUCGGACCCCACCCUGGACCUACUGAAUCAGAAUCUGCAUGUUAACGAGAUCCCAGGUGGCAGUAUGUGACUUUCAUCCUCAUGACUACAAGAUGGUUGCUGUGCCUCCAGGAGUUGUGAUCAUGCCCCCAGCAGAAAGAAGGAGGAAGGAGGAAAGAAGAGAAGGUGCCAGUAUUGAAAAAAAACAACAACAAAAAACAGAAGUUUUCCUCAGAAAUCCCUGAUAGACUUCUGCUUUUGUCUCAGUGGCCAGAGUUGGGCCAUAUGACUGCUCCUUUAUAUGAAGGUCUGGGAAAAUAAAUGUUUCCAGCU